rnacentral:lncRNA from 1 species
UGCUGUGCUGAGUUAGAAUCUGACUACAAUUUGCUGCUCACAUCAGCUGAGCCAGUAAAAGGGAAGCAGCUCCAUUGCUCUAAACAACUGUGGAGUGAAGGACCCACCUCGUGCACUGAAGCUCCUGGGACAUUGUCCUCCGAUAAUUCAUACUGGCAUAGUACAUCUCUGCUAGAUGCUCUGACCUUGGAAACCUCAUACCCAAAUAACUCUCUUGUGCAUGGCUGGGACUGGCCUUGGAGACAGAGCUCUGGCAUCUGCAUGUUUGAAAACCGCAAUCUGAGACAUGCAUCCACUUCAGAUGUGACGUUAGUGGGGUGCAAGUAAGAUGGUAGAUUAAACUGGGGAGAAGGUGUAACAGUCCACAGGGCCUAGCAGGUUCCAAGAGAAAGCUGCAUCCCCAGCACAUGCUGAGUUCAACAGGAACUCAGUAUUACAGGAAAUACUGGACACUCAGUGGCCAGCUAAUGGCGUUAUGGGGUAACACUCUGCUUCUAUUAAUAAAAUUAAUAUUAAAACUGUUUACCGAAACUGUUGGUAUGACCACUAGCCAAAUACAGUGAUGGUGUUUCCAUUCCAUGCUGGUGAACUGAGGCAUGAUGUAGGCGUUCUUGUGUCUAUUUUCAGUAUUUAACUUCCAACUGACACUCCCAUUUAGGAGCCAAAAUCCUUUUGGCUUUGAGGAGUCACUUUUUUUUUAUUGAGUUUAGAACAAGAAUUCUGAAGUCUUUCCUUAUCAAGCUGCCUCCUUAGGUCUUUAAAAUUGAGAGUGAAAUGCUUAAGCUAGUGAAAGCUAGCUAGCUAACUACUGUCAGUCAAUGUUUUAAGAGAUAGGGACGUUCCUGAAGAUGCAGAGGCAGGCAGUCUGCAGCAAAAGACUCAGCAGCUCUUGAAGUUUUUGUCACUGGUUUUCCAUAGAAUUAUGCAGUGUGGAGGAGGUUGGGAGAAGGACUGGUGGUGGCUCUUGCUGUUUGGGGGAGGAGGGAUUGAUGCUAGUGAUGAAUUUUGUUUUUCUCUGAAAGACCAGCUGUCUGACUGUACAGAUAGUGGUUACUUCGGUUGUUAUGUGCUUAAGGAAAAAGGACAAUAUAUCUCUCUGUUGUUUGGGCGAUAUGCAAAUAAAAUGUGUAUUGCCAGGUGGAAAAUACGCUCUGCUGGUAACUAUACUGAUGUAGACCUUCCUGUUUCCAUUACAAUGAUGGACUCUUCACUUACUGAGAUUGACUGUGCAGAGCCAACACUACCAGCCAGUUUGGUCCCAUCCAGUGAUCACUUAACUUCACCUGAAGAAGUUCUUACAUCCUCUUUGGAAAGCACUGCACCAGUAAUAGGCUGCCUUGUUAUGGAGGAAAAAUCACCCAAGUGCUCACGUGAAAAAGAGGAAGAUAUGCCAACUUCUGUAGCAAUGAAGAAAAACAACAAUAAGGAUCCGGCUGGUCCCGAAUCAGGAACGGAUCUGACCAAGAAGGAAUUCUGCCCUGUGAUGGAAGAACACAAAACCGCGUUUCAAAACAUUUUAAAGGAAGACCUGGAGGUGGACCAGGAAAAGAAAAACAAAGAGCAGAGUGAGGAAGCGCCACCCAUGGUUUCCAGUAGGAAAGGUAAGAGGUUUUUGCUGAACACAGAUGUGUAACUCGCAGGAGUGCAUGCCUUGGUCAUCUGUGUCAGGAGGUGUGUAAAGAGGUGCAGAGAAAUGCCUGCCCCACACCAGUUAUUAUGAGGGGUUUUGUUUUAAAGAAUAGUAGGUGUAGUUAAGGAUCAAAAUGGGUUAGCAAUGAAGAAGAGGAAGAUAUUAUCAUACAAAACCUGUUUCUCUGACUUCUACAGAUACUGAUCUAACAGACCCCUUCUUCCUCUAGGCAGGAAGGAAAAUUUCUUCAGGGUUGCAAAGGAGUUGGGAUAUUUGAAGCAGUUCUGGCACAUGCCUCCCCCCUCCCCAAAGAUUUGUAAAGGGUCAAAGAUUUGUACAGUGGCAUCCUUUCUGCUAGCUAGAGUUUGGGGUAAUACAGUAUUGAAAAGGUAGCCAAUGUUUCCACUUAACUGUGUGCUUAGACAUCCCUACUCUUCUAAUCACCUCGCCUUUUGCCUUUGGAGUUCACUAAGUUAGUGAUGUAGCAAGUCACAAAACAUCCCGAACCCAUGGGCUGGGGACUUAAAGCAAAACCUAUAAUUAACUUUCCUAUUCUAAUUAAAUGCCAGUUGAAGCCAACUAAAGAACUAACUUUUGGGGCUUUGUACAAGUAAGACAGCACUGUCACUGGUACUAAUCCUAACAUACUCUGAAAUAUGCAUUUUUUAUUUUUUUUUAAUUGGCAAGAGCUCAACACUGGCAAUCUUUAACAGUGGCUUCUGUUGGAGCUUAAAAGAUUUACAUGAGCUGCUUUUUAGGAGGCUGCUUUUCACUUUUGAGAACUUUUUUUUUCCUCUCUUCUCAGGGAGUUCACCCUCUGCAGGUGGCAUUAAAGGAGAUAAAUCAAAGCCAAAUGAACCGUAAGUGUUUUGACUUUCAAUGAUCACCUGCAGGCAUGAAUUUAAAGCUGCAGUCUGUUACAUGAU